rnacentral:rRNA from 1 species
CCUACGGGAGGCAGCAGUGAGGAAUAUUGGUCAAUGGACGAGAGUCUGAACCAGCCAAGUAGCGUGAAGGAUGACUGCCCUAUGGGUUGUAAACUUCUUUUAUAUGGGAAUAAAAUGUUCCACGUGUGGGAUUUUGUAUGUACCAUAUGAAUAAGGAUCGCCUAACUCCGUGCCAGCAGCCGCGGUAAUACGGAGUAUCCGAGCGUUAUCCGUAUUUAUUGGGUUUAAAGGGAGCGUAGGUGGAUUGUUAAGUCAGUUGUGAAAGUUUGCGGCUCAACCGUAAAAUUGCAGUUGAAACUGGCAGUCUUGAGUACAGUAGAGGUGGGCGGAAUUCGUGGUGUAGCGGUGAAAUGCUUAGAUAGCACGAAGAACUCCGAUUGCGAAGGCAGUUCACUGGACUGCAACUGACACUGAGGCUCGAAAGUGUGGGUAUCAAACAGGAUUAGAUACCCCUGUAGUC